rnacentral:lncRNA from 1 species
UCCACUCUCACACUUCAGGAACCCGCCCAGGUGCUGUUUACCCAGACUUAGGAGCCUCGGCCCCCGUAGGAGCCCCUGAUCUCUCUUUACCGGGCGUCCGACGUCCUCCCGCGCGCUUCGACCUCGACGCCUAUACGCCUCUCGCCUCUGCCCAUUUCCCCUGAGCUCCAAGGCCUGCCACAGAAAGCACACACCGCCGGGGGACGGCUCUAUGCUUCCCACGCGGGCGAGGGCGCCACUCCGAGGGCAGGAUGACGAGGGACAAGUUUUCCAGAAGAAAAAGAAUGAAUGCUAGAGCACAUGGGUAUCCUUUGAAAUGAGCUGCAGAGGAGCUGUGUUCAUUUCAGGCUCACAGUCUUGUCACCAGUUUCAGAAGAAUUCUGCACCUGCAGCAGCCAGGAAUAUCUGCUGAGGAACCUUUGUCCUCCACCUAAACCAGGACUCUUCAGCCUGGACUGGAAGGCUCCCAUGUACCAACUGCUCCUGCUGCUGCUGCAGCUGCAACUUCUACUCUCUCUCUCCCCAACCACAGGCCCCAUGAACCCCAAUAGUAGGAGGAAAAGGAAAAGUAAUCAAAAUGCUGUGCUUAAAGGGAUGGUUCUCCAAGUGUGGUACCUGGAUCAGCAGCAUCCUCAGCCCCUGGAAACUUGCUGAAAUGCACUCUUGGACCUUUCCCCAGAACCUCUGGAGUGGUGCCUAGCAAUCUGUGUUUCAGGGAGUCUUCCAGGAGAUUCUGGUGCACAGGAAAGUUUUGGGAGCCACCGGCUUAGGGUUUGAUCUCAGAAGUCAGGUGGCCUCCCUAGGAGUUCAUCCAUCUUGGUAAAAAUAUCAUCAACUCUUCUGUCCCCUUUUAAUUGGUGGGGAAAGACCUGCCUGUAGUGCAGUGGAGAAUCCUUGGGAUCCUGGUUAUCUCCUAGCCCUCUGGGCAUUUUGUAUUAACUGUAAGUCACAAGUACUAGCCUGUCUGUGGCAGCAUCCAGGAAACAGAAUCAUGGCAGCUACACGAGAAGCCUCCCACAUGCAGGGUUUCUCUGACGUCUCAUGGUGAAGGACAACAUAUCUAACCUUGUUCUGAGCGAAAUGGACAUGUACUUCCAAGUGGCUUGAGAAUCUCUUUAGUUCUAUAUUUAGUCAGUUUACAAGGAGUUUGAGAUGGAUUUUACUGUUUACCAAGGCCUUUCUUGUGUGUCCAUCAUAGUACUUAGGACUGGAAAUCUGUGCUAAUCUCUUGUGAGUUUCCACUUGCAGGAUGCCACUUUGAUAAAAUGUAGAAAUCUUCCAGAUGGCUAGAGAACUGUGCUUCUUUUCUAGAGAAUGAAGUAAAGGAAACUGGGGUAGCAUCCCAGGAGGAAUGACAGAGCAGUACCCACUUCACCAGAUGACAAAUUCAGAGGCACCUAUGGGGCAGUGUGUAAAGUAGGGGAGUCUCUAAUUCAAAAGAAAAUGAUGUGUUCAUGUUCAACAGCUAUGUGGGCUAGAUCACCCAGAACCAUUUCUGGCAAACGAAGGCAAAGGGCUGGUCUUAACCUGCUCUGUCCCUGAGAGGUUGUGCAAGGGGUUUGUCUGAGCGGUCCUUUCUCUGGAGACAGAGAAAGGGCUCUUGAUGGACCAGUCAGUCAGAUUUACUAACGGAUACAUUCCCCUUCUUCAGUUGUUCAGAUGAUUCCUUUAAUUUUGUCUGGCAGUACCAGAUUGCCCGAGAAAGUCCGCUGGUUUCCUUGCAUAGCACAAGCUCUUGUGAACAGGAAGUUUACUCUUUGCCCCCUUUUAUUUAUUUAUUUAUUUAUUUUGGUGAAGAGGUUGCAUUUCUCAGUCUCUUCCUCCUCUCCACUCUCAGAACCCUCACUGCAUUUUGGAGCAUGGUCAGUGUGACCCCAGAAAGCCACUGGAAUGUGCUGGUGAUUUGUGCUCCACAGUCACCCCCCUUUCCCCAUCUCCUCUCUUUGGGGGGCUGAGCCUAUGCCUAUACAGCCUUGUUUUCCUCCCCGAGAAGUGGAUUUAUGCCAGUGGGACUGGAAGCUAGAUGAAAAGCUAUCAAAGCACCAAGGGAAGAAUCAAUAGUAAUAUAUGGACGUGUGUACAUGUAUCACAAGUGACAGACUCAUUUCCAUGCAAGUUAAAAGAUUCUUGGUGCCUCUCAUUGAUGCCUGCGUAUCUGUGCACACACAUGCUCUGAUGGGGAUACGCAUGGCCUCACCUUGUAGAGGCUAAGUGGACAGCUGCCUGUGGGCUGUGAUUUGAUUUUGCUCUAGGGCCCUCUUCAUGACCACCCCAGCUGGCCCAGGCCUUUUGCCUGCUGGGAAUUCCCACAUCACAGGCAUCUUUGGAUUCAGGCACUGAAAGUUGUUUAAAUGCAAAUUAUUUUCUAGGUGGUAGAGACAUUAUUAUUCAUUAAUAUUUGGGCUUUAAUGAGUUUAUCAGCUUAGAAGAGAACAAGCCAGAGUCUUUUGGUAAUAGAAGCCAGAGAGAUAGGUUUUAAUAACAAUAUGUGGAAAAGAGAGGUGUGAAAUACUGUAGAAACUAUUGCCAUAGACUCAAGGAAUAGCAGGAGGACACUAAUUACAUGGUAGGGAAUGAGAUAGAAAAAGAAAAGUGAGGAAGUGGGGAAUAAGGUGGCUGCCUGAGUCCACAGGUCAUUUCUGCCAGGAGCUCUUAGAUUUUCUUUCCUGGGUAGGGGUGUUUGUAGAAAGCCUUGCUGGGACACUGGUACAUUUCACAUUUGCCAUAGUAUCACUAUUUCCAAGGAGUAUCUAGUUAUUUAAAAAUAUGUAUUGAACACCUAAGUUCAUGCCUAGGCACUUGGGUGUAUCUGGAUGACAGACCAGACAGGACCCAGCCAUUAAGGAGCUUGUAUUUUAGUGAGGAGGUGGAGGAGACAACAGAUACAAUACAUAAGGCAAGUGUGGUACAUUAACUGGUGAGAAAGGCUCUGGAGAAGAAUAAAGUAAUGAGAGCGGCUGAUGGGGAGGGAGUGCCCUUUAAAAUAAGGUGGUCAGAAAAGGAUCACUGGAAGGUGACAUUUGAAUAAAAGUGAGUAAGGAGUAAGGAAGCCCCACAGAUGUCCAUCAAAGCUCAUUUCCACUGGAGGAAACAGUAAAUGCAGGUCCUGCAACAGGAGCCUGCCUGGUUAGAGCAUGGAGUGGGAAAGGUAGAGGGGUCUGGGGGUGAGAGGAUGGAUGGUGUGGUCACAUGAGAGUGAGCACAGGGGACAACAGUAGGGCAUAAGGUCAGAAGAUCAUGGCGGGGUGGGGGCAGUUCACAUAGGGCCUUAUAAGACUUAACUUUUAUUUUGAGUGAGAGUUUUGAAGGGCAGUAAUAUAUCCCACCUUCAAUUCAAGAGGCUAUCUAGGUUCGCCUGUCCUGGGGUUGUCCAGAGAUGGUAGAUGUCCUUAGCAGAUCAUGAGAUCUCUGUUGUGAAUCCUUGAUGGUGGAUGCUGUUCUAGCACAAAGUGAACUAAUGAGUGUGGCUGUGUUUCAAUGAAACUUUAUUUGCAAAACCAGGUGUCAGGCCAGAUUUGGCCCACGCUGAUCCUUGGGUUGUUGCAACAAUCCACAAGAGAGAAGAAAAUGGCUUGGACCAGGGUUUUAGCAGAGAUGUUAGCAAAAAGCCCACAGGACUUACUGUCAGACUAGAUGUGGGGUAUGGGAAAAACCAAGGAGAGAAACCAAAGGUGAUGCCAAAGUUUUGAGGUUCAGCAAAGAGAAAUGGAAUUCCUACUGAAAUAAAUAGAGAAAACUCAGUGGGGAGAUUUGGUGUAGGAUUGGGGGGAGGGGUAUCAGGAGUCAGUUUGGGAAAUGAAAAUUUAAGAGGCCUUUACAAAAAGGAUUGGCUCAGGUGUUCCCUAAGUCUCCUUCUAGCCCUGAUAUUCAUUCUAUGAUUCCACACCUCUGAGAGAAGGAGCAGCUACCCUAGUGGCUUCUGCAGAGAUUGUGUUCUUCUGGGAGACCUUCCACGCCGCAUUACGCUGCCUUUCUCAAGUGCAAUUAGUGAUUAUGUUAGCUAGAGAUCAGUUGCAGGAAGGAAGAAACAUUGAAAGGGAGACAACUGCCAGCUGAAACUAGCAGGGGGACUUGGAAGUGUGGCAUAAGUGGUGUAUGUGCCUGAGGAGGCUUUGAGGGCUGGAGGCAAAUUCCUGUGUAUCUUAGUUUCCUGGAGGUUAUUCAUAAUGGAGGGUUGUCAGCCGACCAGGCUAAGAAUGUUCAAUUUGUUUUCAGAGAAAAAGCAAAGCAUCUUCUUCGACUUCACCUCUGCUCUACUCUCAGAACAGCUAUGCUUCGGACCCGCUCACCCUUUGCAUACAUACCCCAGAUGACCUCUGGGGACCCACAGGACACAGACGGGGGUCUUUGCCAUUCGAUCCUCCAGGCCAUUUCCUCCCUCUUCUCUCUCAUCUCUCCUCCCUGGGAGAUUUGUCUUCUGUCUGCCCAAAUUCUUUCUACCCAAGAAGUGGCUCGGUGCCAGUGGGGUUGUUUGCUGUGUGGAGAGCUGGCAAACCACUUUGGGAUUGAGCUGAUAGUAAUAUAUUUAAAAUAUGAGCAUUUAUCAGAGCAGCAGAUGGAGGCAGCAGAGUGGAGCUCCCAGAACGGAGGGCAGGAAGUGUUUCAUUCGAGUGUAAAGCGUGCACCAUCUAGACUCAGCUGGCACCAGCUCGUGAAACCUGGGAUGAGAAGGAGGAAAACAAAAAAGGCUACCUUUGUGCUAAGGUCUGGGAGGUCACAGCGUUCCCUGACCAUAAGUCUCCCGAGUCUCAAAAACCGCAUUCACUCCAGGAGGGAAGGAAAACCCUUCUCGUUUGCUUUUCUUAACACAUUUCACUUCCCUAAAGCUUAUAAUUUUAAUAAAAAUUCCGAAGCUUGGAACAAAU